UUCAAAGAUCAGAAAUCUCCACAUAGUCUGGGUUCUAGAAUUGAGUACCAGAAGUGAUAAAAUGAAGACUUUACUGGGACUAUUCCUAUCACUGGCAUGGCUAUCAGGUGUAAAGUGUGAUCCUCAACUUACCCAGUCUGACUCAGCGGUGAUAAAGCCGGGGAACUCCCACACACUGACCUGUACAGGUUCGGGGUACACCUUUGGUGACCAUGGUAUGCACUGGGUCAGACAGUUCUCUGAUGGAAAGUUACAAUGGCUGUGUUAUACAUACACCGAUGGGAGUAACACAAACUAUCAUGAUGAUGUUAAAGGAAGAUUCACAGCCACUAAAGAUAACAACAACAACAAGGUGACUCUGAAAAUGGACAACAUGAAAACUGAAGACUCUGCCGUGUAUUACUGUGCAAGAGGCACACUGAACCGGUCAAGUGCAUUCCUAUCGGUGAAACCUCACAAGAUUCACCACUGCAAAUACCUGAAGUAUGGACAGGAAUUGAAGGAUGUACUGCGACGCCGCUUCCUACCAGUGGUGACACCUGGGGAAGAUGGCUUGCUUCAGCAGGAACCUGCUCAUCGCUGA